rnacentral:misc_RNA from 1 species
UCUCCGUAGGUGAACCUGCGGAGGGAUCACUACAGGCUUGCAAAAGCUCUGAAACCACUGUUUAGCUACCUGACUCUGCUUCGGCGGGCAGCCCCACAGGCGGGCCGUAGCCGCACGGCUCCCUCCCAAGACCCCUUAACUCUCUCUACUUGAGAAUACCUGAGCAUGCAAUUAAACAAAAAACAACUUUCAACAACGGAUCUCUUGGCUCUG